GUUUUGGAAUAAGGGAAAGGGGGAUGUGAUUAAAAAAAUUGGGUUCAAUUUUUCUCAUUUGAAAUUUCAUAAAUAAAAAAGAAAAUUUCUUCAAACAUUUUUUUGAGAGGAUUAAUAUUCAACAGCAUAGUGAAUUGCUCUAAGAGAAAACAAAAAUUUUAAGUUCAUUAGAACACAUUCAUUCUGUGUCAGAAACCUAUGCUGUGUCAACUAUUUAAUCACAAUCCAAAUUUAGAGCUGAAUCCAGCUUGAAUGUUGUGUCCAUACUUGCCCCAACC
rnacentral:lncRNA from 1 species